rfam:Dipodomys ordii contig_13904, whole genome shotgun sequence.
GGGAAGGUAGGUCAGUGGUAGAGCGCUUUGCCUUGCAUGCAUGAGGCCCUGGGUUCGAUUCCUCAGCAUUACCU